UCUAAAUUUGUACUUACAUAUACACAUAUAAAUACAUAUGCAGGUGAACAAUAAUAGUGCAAGUGUUAUUUAUGCACUUUUCUUCAGCAAUGUAAACAAAAGAAUUUUAGGGCGCAGACAUGUCGAGAAAAAUAGUAGGAAAUCUGUUUGUAGUGUAUUCGAAAAACCCUUAAAGUUUAAAAACACAUAAUACAUUGUUGAUGCACUGCGCCCUAAUUGUAUUUUAAAUUUCACGUAAAAUUGCGAACUAAAUUUCUGCCUAAUGAAAAACUAUAAAUUAUUCGAAAAAUGGCAUAAAAACACAUAUUCAAAAUUUUUAUUACUUAAAUCUACAUAAUGCGCCCGAACAAGAAAAACCAGAAUAACUUAAAUACAUACUUAUAAAUAUGCAUUUAUUCUGAGCAAAACAAAAGUGGGGUCAAUGCCAGGUUUUGGCACGCCAAUCAAGUUGAGUAUCUUGCUUGCUGUUGCUAAUGUGGCGUACAUUGUUUUGUUUGUAAACUUUUUUUGUUUGCCAGUGCUAGAGAGCUGACUAAUUACUUUAAAAAUAGUGUUUUAUAAUAAAUUAUUUGGAAAGUAAUGUUUACUUUAUUUAUUUUUAGCAAUAUAUGUAUAAUUUUAUGCUGACUCUUUAUCAGUGAGGAUUUUGUAGAUGAGAUAAUAAAGCAAGUUUCCUGUACUGACAAUGCUUGUAGCUUAAAACAGCUAAAUAUUUCAUUUGCCUUAAAAAAAUAGCAUUAUUAUGCGUGGACAGACCUCCAGAAGUAUGGCCUUAUCAGUGGUGAUUUAUUAAGAAUAACGUUUUCGGGGCUACUUAUUCGGGUUACCAUAGCCAACUAAAUAUACACUUCGCGACAAAACAAUAGCACCUAAACAUUUUGAUUCUUUUUCAUUGUCAAACAAAAACCAUAUAAAUCCGAAGUUAAAGCUUUAUAUACAAAUUAGAAAAAUUCCAUAAACUUUUCACCCAAAUUCCACGGUUGCUAAUGCGAAUUUUUAGGAAAAUUUUUGGUAUGCAAUUGUUUAAAUCCCGCCAAUUUUUUUAUAAUUUCUUUUUCUUGACAGUUUUGCAUAUUUUUUUCAUUUAACAACUUUUUUUGAAUAGAAGAAAGCACCCAGCACCAUAAACGAAACAAAAAAAAAAACAUAAAUUUUUCGAAAAUCAGCGCGAUUUUAAGCCACUUGAAGCUUGCACUAAUAUUCAAUGGGUUUUAAAACUGUGUAUCGAAAUUUACUGAAUUUUGAUGGAAAUUUGUUAAUUUUUUUUAAUUUGCAUAUAUUUAGAAACUUGGAUUUACAUAUAUGGUUGCUGUAGGAGGAUGAACUAUAUUUUCAUAAAAAAAUUAUUCAAAUUAAAUAAGAAAGAAAAAAAUUGUCAAAACAUGUCAAUAGGUCCUUCUGCUGUAGUUAUUUAACGCAAAAUAUGUGCCUUAGGAUAGCCGAAAAAAAUUUAUUAAGUUAUUCAUAAUUUGUCUCCGUUAUUGUGAAAUUACUUUCUUUCUUUUUAGAAUUAGGCUUCCCAAAAUUCCAGUGUAAAACGUAGGAGAGAGAUUUUUUUAGAUGCCUUUUUUGAAAUUGGCUCUCUUUUGUAGUCUUCGAGAAGUCAUUCUUUACCUUUAUGCGAGAAAAUUAUCCACAUUAUAGAAACAAACAAGAAACAAAUUUAUUUGUUUUAUUUGUUUUAGAGUCUUCCACUGAAAAACAUAUUUAUUAGGUAUAUUUACUUUAAUGCCAUUCAUACUCUAAUAGAGAACUAAGUAGAGAUUAUUGAAAUAUUUCCGUUUGCUUGAAUUAGUUUCCAUACGAAAUAUGUACAUAAAUCUUACGUUCUGAUUACAUUUUAUCUUUUACUUGCUUUAUUUGUGCUAAUCUUCAGUUUCGAGCUGAAGAACUUGAUCGGAAACUAGUGAGCUUAAAGAUCAGUUCGGAGUAGGAAAAUGUUAAGUGCAGUCAAAUCGUACAGUACAGUAAAAUCUUGGUGGUCAAUUCAUGUCGCCGCCCCUAGAGAUAACCCUAUCCUUAAAUAGCUUAUAUUAAAGUAUCUCCAGCUGCUCAUGCGUGUACUUGCAAGGGAGGGAGGAUAAAAGUUUUUGCAGAUACCGCCAAAAACAACGUGGCCGCCACAGCUAGUCAACUAAAUUGAGUUUUUCUUAUUAGGAAAUGUUCAAAUUUAAGUUCUUGAUAUGGUAAAGACUUUGUAUGUUAAUGGCGUCAAUGUAGAUGUGAGUUCAAAGAGUUUCGAACCAGUAACUCGGCUGAUAAUAAUCAAUGCCAUCCUAAUGGGUGAAAAUAUUAAAGUUCUCAAAUGCUGCAGUCAUUUACGCUCAGAUCAGGAAAAAGUGCUUUAGGUUCAUAGUACUGACAUUAUAUAUUAUUUGGAUUUCAUGCAUCGCUUGGGUCUACAAGCUCAAGUACAUGACUGAUAAAAAUCGUGAGUAAGCUCAAAUGUAAUUAUUGUAGUACUAGAGUCAACAUUUUCAACAACAAAGUAAAUAUUUUUCUGUCUAGAUAUCUUUGGUGCUUUUCUCCUUAUCAUCUUAUGGCUGCUGCAAUAUUUCAUUAUUAAUCAUCAUUAAACGUGAUUCGCCAUUCACGUUUGGGCUCUACAUAUGAAUGUGUACUAAACUUCUUUCAUUUCUUUUCAUGCUUGGCGCAGCAACCUCUCAGCUAUUUCGAAAGCGUUCAAUAAAGCAUAGAAGUCGUUCACCCCUUUCUCGUGCAAAUUAAUGUAAAUUAAUUUUUGGUCGAGUAUUUUCCCAAUAUGCCUUUUGCAAGUAUGAUAGAUUACCAGGUUUGGUCAUCCGAAGCAAAACUGUGUGAGUGUAACUUGGUUUUCUGCCUGCGCUUUUCACACGUAUUCACACACUUGUCCAAUCAGUCGUUAUUUAGACUGCAACGAAGUUCCAUGCAAUAUCAGUGACGUCAGCUAAUCAGCUGAUUCUUUCAAAUUCGCUGAGAGUUGACUAACAGUCUGAUCUUGGCCACACCUCUCUAAAUUGUUUCAUCAUGAGUAUUUUCGCAAUAUGCCUCUCCAACAGUGAGGGGAUUUUCCUCUUUCUCUGUCAUUAUCAGGAGAAGAAAGGUCAGAUAUGUAUUUGUGGAUCAUGCGUGGAUCAAUUGUAUCAUUUCGAACAAUAUAUGAAUGGAGGCAGCAGUAUGUAAUGCUUACACUAAUUGUUUCAUUCUCUAUGGUACUCCCUGUCACUCUAAAGGCCGCCCAUCGAGUGAUAUUGUCGUUUAAGGGUCUGCGCUAAGUAAUAGAUUACGCAUUUUAAAGGAUUUAUAAAGGGUGAUUUCUGCUAGUUGUGAGAGAAUUUCGCUACUAAAUUUGCGGUCUACUUAGUGUGAAAUAUUUUUUUGUAACUAUCUUAUUUUACAUAAUAAGCUCACACUUUUCGAUCUAUGUUUUAUAUAAUGACCUUUUUAUUGGCUAUUGUUUCUAAAAUAGUCUUUAAAAAUCUGUAGUCUUUAAAUCUCUGAUGAGCUGUGAUCGAUAUUUUUUAUAUAAGUGCCAUUUAAGAAGGUUGCUUUUUAAUAUUUCUGGCCUUGGGACCUUCUAGUGUUGUUAGACGUCUUCGGACGUUUCUAUUGGACAGUUUGACACAUUUUACAUAUACGCAAUCAGAACGUUUUGAUGACAACAUAUGAGAAUGAUGAAUUCCGGAAAGGUGUUCCAAAAUCAGCUACUGAUGAGCAAGAUCGUCACGGUGGGCAUUAGUAUGACGAGCAUUAAUAAAAUUUAUCACGAUCGCCUUGUGGGAUAAAAGAUGUGUUCGCGUUGGAUCACACACAAUUUUAAAAACGCCCUAGAAACGCGACUGAAAAAGGUGCUUCGAAAAUCAGUUCAAGCGAAUGUACGAAUGUAUUUAUCGCCAUGGAGUAGAUUUUAAAAAGCUAUAAAACCGUUUUCAACCACCAAUGUUCCUUUUUCUAUUGCUAGGGCAGGAAUGUAAAUAGAAAACCUCGUAUAACUUCAAUAAAUGCAAUUUACAUAAUUCGGGAUAGUCAUGGUCAACAAAAACAAUGUAGUAAGACCCAAGUGCCUGUUGAGGAAUUUUAACUGCUCAAUGUAACUCCGUAAAGUAUAUUAAUUCAGAUAAAAUGAGCAUAUAAAGAGUAUAAAAAAGUAGUAAAGUUUUAAAAAUAACAAUUUAUUAACUAUGUUUUAUAUUCACAUUUUAUUAAAAAUACUGACCUUGAAUUUCUUCGAUCUGAAUAAUGUUUGGUCCUGUGAUGAUAUCAUAUUUCAGUGAACAAAUAAUCUUCCGCUGGGAAGUCAAAAAAGACGAAGAAAACAGGAAAUCACUCUAAAGAAGGUGAUUAAUUAUUUAGAAGGCAAACUUCCUUAUGGCGGUAAUCGAAUAACGAAGUACUUUCAAGUUGACUUCCCUUUUUUCUUAAUGACAUUUCUUAGUUCUUCUAAAUGUAUGGGGGGAUAUAUAUAUAUAUAUAUAUAAUAUUUAGACCUUUUUACUUGUAAUUGAUUCAUAUCUGAACCCACAGAAAAAAGAAUUAGUCAUCAUCUUACUACCUGAUUUGCUUGCUACUGCAUAUCAAGAUUUGGAAGUGGCGAAUCGACUUGUAUAACUUGUAUAAAUAAACAUAUGUUGGCAGCGUUGGAAAAUAGCUGCCAAAAAUUGCAUUUAUUUAGAAGCACUUAAUGAAUGUUGGUAAGACCGCGUUCAUACAGGGCAACUUUUGUAGCAAUUUGUUGGCGUGCUAAUAAAACUUACCUGGUGGCAUUGAAAAUGAUGAGUCAAGACAGGUUUAUGAUGUAUAACUAUAGUCGUUAGCGACGACUCUUUCAUUAUAUCUUUGUUGCUGCUUUCACAUGUAAAUUUUUCGUCAAACGAGCGAAGUUCAAACAUUGUUUUUUCUCACCAAGAGUUAGAGUAGGAGUUGUAAGAUUAAAUCUUUUCUAAAUAAUCUGUGUUGUUGUUCUUAGGUUAGUGAGAAACUCAACUAAGGAACAAAACUCACUUUUCUCCAUAUUGAUAGUUUCUUACCGAUUGAUUUGUUUAUCCGGCGGUAUCUUAAAGGCUAACAAACAGAUUUGACUGAAACUUAGUACUUAUAGUCCCGCAUUAGCUCACCAGGUAUUGCUACUUUUUCAUCUCCACUCGUAUGUUUCCAUUAGUACGUUAGCAAUAAUUUAGUCUUUUGUUUAAUUUAUUGUUCCCUGGGAACCAUCUUAUUCCCAAAGUACUACACCUAAAGUCUUUUUUAGUGAUAAAAGAAUCCCUAUUGCUAUCCCGUUGAGUGCUUUUGUCAUUUAAAAAUGUAUGCCAUACUACAUAUAUAUGUAUGUAUACAUAUAAUACGACGGCUGAAGUAAUUGUUAUGAUUGCAUCAGUUCAAUUGAUCGUCGCCCCUCUUUUACCACCUGCUCCAUAUUUCCAAGAAUGAGAGUUGCAAAGUUGAUUCAUACUUCAGUGAGAUAUUCAUUAGCAUCUACUUACAUUACCAAUCUUUCUGUAUUUGUUUUACUUAUAAGUUGCAUUAGUGCGAUUGUAUUCGGCAAUGCAGCAGCACCUGGUAGUUAUGUCAUGCCGCAACAAACAAUUAAUUAAAUGACUCAGCAUAUAAAAGAUUUGCCUACUACUGAACGACAAUUUUUAUAUCAUUUUCUAAACUUUUAUUUUUAUUUUUUUUUAACUUAUUGAUGCGCUAGUUUUUGGCAUUUUCUUUUGUUUAAAUUCCGUGUGUGUAUUUUUUUACCCCUAGGCUAAAGAAUUUUAAUUAAGUAUAGCAUAGAAUAAGUGACAAAAUUUAAAAACGAAAAAAAAAAUAAUACAUGUAUGUGUAUGUGUGCAUUUACAUUUUUAUUUAAAAAGUUACGAAUUUGUAUUUCCAAGUAAAACAUAAGUGAAUAACAACUAACUUAAAAUGAGUAAACACUUUCUUUGAAAUUUCAUUCGUCGCGUACCUGCCUAUAAUCAUUUAAGUACGAGUAUUAGGUGAGACGUCAACAUGAAACGUGAAGAAAUAUAAUAUAAGUAUAAUGCAUAACGCAUAUGUGUAUGUGUAAUAAAUAUCCAUAUUAUAUACAUAUAUGAUGCCUACUUAGCCAUGGUUUGGGUAUUAUAUUUUUCUUUAAACUUCUGUACGAUUUUACGGAUAGCUGCGCUUUCUCUGUCAUUAAAACUUAAACAGUUAUUAAAAAAAUGUAUCUAAAUGUUUAAAUAUGUAUUUAAUAUUUUGUAGAUCACUUAAAAUAUAGUGUUACUAAUAUCACUAAUGCAAGGUGGCGCAAAAUUAAUCAUCAAAUUUUAUUUUUGAAUAACUUUUUUACUAAAAAAAGUGAUUUUGAGUGGUGGAAAUCUUUAUCACAACUUUACGCGCUCCGUUGCUUGUCUGUUUGUAUACAACAGUUGUCUAGUUCUCGGAGGCCCGAAAAAUUAUGAUUUUAAAUAAUUUUUUUGCCUUAUUUUACAAAAAUAAAAACAUAGCAUUAAUACAAUGUUUUUCGACUUGACUUUAGCAAAAUUUCAAAAAAAAAAAAAAUUAAUAAUUGUACAAGUUAUCGCUGUUUGUGGACUCUCCAGAAGUCCCCUGCCGUGAUCAUCACCAGUCCUUGGAGAUUCAUCUAUAAUCAAUCGAACAAGAGAAAUUAAUUUUAUUAAUUGAUAAUCCUGUGCCUGAUCGAAGCUGCUUUGUGUUUUUUCAAAAUUAACAAUAUGGAGGCCUCAGGAAAUAUUUUUCAGAUAUUCGAGAAAUUGUUAAAAAAAAUCGAAAUUUUUGAAAUAAAAUCCUUCGAUCAGGCACGAGUUGUUUAUCUUUUUCAAAAGCACUAUACAUUUUAUUGAAAUCUACUAAGCGGUUUUUAAGUUACAGUGAUCACCAGUUCAAAAAAAAAUUUUGAGAAAAAAGCAUUUAAAGUUUUGCCAUCUGCUCCGGAGCGCCCUUUGUUAAUUGUUGAAUAACUCGGAUGUGUCGGAUUCACUUCAAAUUUUCACACAAUAUUUUUAAGAUAUUAUACUUUAAGGGGGUAUUCUAGUCUAGAGGCCCGAAUUCCGAGCAUUUUUUGACGAUGAAUAAAAAAAAAGCUAUUGAUAUUUUUACGAUAAAUUUUUUUAUCAUUUAUUUAUUCA